rnacentral:lncRNA from 1 species
GAGACUUCUGAGCGAGCGCAGGCGUGCGGGGCCGGUUGGAAUCUCCUUUAGCCAAUGUCAAGUUUCUCAGUGAGAGCUUCCUCCUUUGCCCGGAUGUCCAAGAUCCUGCUUCCUACCCUGUCCAAGGACCUGUCUUUGCACAACAAGAACAGCCCAGAAUCCACGGACAAAAGUUCUUCUUCCACCACUGAAGAAAAAAAGAAACAUGAGAAAAAAAGCAAAGUGUCCAUGAUGCUUCCCGACCGUUCAGAUAAUCCCUUCCACAUGUCCGAGGAUGUGGAUUUCUUCUUGCUCAGAGAUAAGGAGCGGAAUAAGUCUCUCGCAGAUCGGGAGAAGAAGAAGAUGCUUCAGGUGCACGAGAAGAUGACGUCCUCUUCCAAAGUGUCAGCCAAGCAUGCCAGCCUGCGGCGCGAGCUGCAGCUGGAGGAUGAGAUGGAAGACCUGGAGGUGCAGGCGCACGCCGAGCAGCUGCGCACCUUCCACGACCAGAUGGCCUGGAAACUCUCCAAGACCCGAG